rnacentral:rRNA from 1 species
UACGUAGGGUGCAAGCGUUAUCCGGAAUGAUUGGGCGUAAAGCGUCUGUAGGUGGCUUUUUAAGUCCGCCGUCAAAUCCCAGGGCUCAACCCUGGACAGGCGGUGGAAACUACCAAGCUGGAGUACGGUAGGGGCAGAGGGAAUUUCCGGUGGAGCGGUGAAAUGCGUAGAGAUCCGGAAGAACACCGGUGGCGAAGGCGGCCUGCUGGGCAGUAGCUGACACUGAGGCGCGACAGCGUGGGGAGCAAACAGG